CGGAUUAGCCCAAACCAAUAAAGUUUUCUUUAUUGGGGUUGCGGACAUAUCAUAACGAAGAGGUAUCGUAAUUGAAGAGGUUUGGAAAGACCCACCACAGAAGGUAAUAGUCCUGUAUGUUAAACGAGAAGACUUCAGAUAUGAUCCAGAGUACCACGGGACACGUGAAACCCUGUGGGAAGCAGGAGGGACCACCCUCCAAGGCUAAAUACUACCUAGUGACCGAUAGCGUAUAGUACCGUGAGGGAAAGGUGAAAAGAACCCCGGGAGGGGAGUGAAAUAGAACCUGAAACCCUGCACUUACAAGCUGUGGAAGCACAUUUCUUGUGUGACCGCGUACUUUUUGUAGAACGGGCCAACGAGUUACGUUAAGUAGCAAGGUUAAGCACUUAAGGUGUGGAGCCGUAGCGAAAGCGAGUUUUAACUGAGCGUUCAGUUACUUGACGUAGACCCGAAACCGGGCGACCUACCCAUGAGCAGGAUGAAGCGAAAGUAAAAGUUCGUGGAGGUCCGAACCCACGAGCGUUGAAAAGCUCGGGGAUGACUUGUGGGUAGCGGUGAAAUUCCAAUCGAGCCCGGAGAUAGCUGGUUCUCCCCGAAAUAGCUUUAGGGCUAGCCUCAAGGUGAGAGAUACGGAGGUAGAGCACUG
rnacentral:rRNA from 1 species